UGGGGAAUAUUGGACAAUGGGCGCAAGCCUGAUCCAGCUAUGCCGCGUGAGUGAUGAAGGCCUUAGGGUUGUAAAGCUCUUUCGCCGGUGAAGAUAAUGACGGUAACCGGAGAGGAAGCCCCGGCUAACUUCGUGCCAGCAGCCGCGGUAAUACGAAGGGGGCUAGCGUUGCUCGGAAUCACUGGGCGUAAAGCGCACGUAGGCGGAUCGUUAAGUCAGGGGUGAAAUCCUGGAGCUCAACUCCAGAACUGCCCUUGAUACUGACGAUCUCGAGUUCGAGAGAGGUUUGGUGGAACUCCGAGUGUAGAGGUGAAAUUCGUAGAUAUUCGGAAGAACACCAGUGGCGAAGGCGGCCAACUGGCUCGAUACUGACGCUGAGGUGCGAAAGCGUGGGGAGCAAAACAGGAUUAGAUACCCUGGUAGUCCACGCCGUAAAACGAUGGAUGCUAGCCGUUGGGGGGUUUACCUCUCAGUGGCGCAGCUAACGCUUUUAAGCAUCCCGCCUGGGGAGUACGGUCGCAAGAUUAAAACUUAAAUG
rnacentral:rRNA from 1 species